rnacentral:SRP_RNA from 1 species
AUUCUGGAGCAACAUCUUUGCGUGAAGCGGGUCAGGGGAGGAAUCCAGCAGCCCUAAGCGAAGUAAGGUGUGUGCUCUUUUUGUAU